rnacentral:tRNA from 1 species
GACUAUAUGACACUAGCCUUGCACGCUGGAGGUUCCGGGUUCGAUUCCCGGUGGUGUCG